GGCUGGACACACCAUUGUAUACUAUGGCACGUGAUGUGGGAGGCAUUAUACCACACAUUACACUCAAGGUGGGGUUAGGUUUCAGAACAAGAGAUGUGGGCAGAAUGAUGGAAAGAGCCAGUGUCAGCAAGUGGCUGCCUGCGAAAGAAUUAGGGAAAGGUGACGUGGAGGUGUCACAGGAUAACACCUUGAUGCGAAUCAGACACUCAUCUCGCUUAACGGGGGAGCCUCAAGUAGUUGAGGUGAUUGAGUGAGAGAGGAUAGAGGAGGAAUAUACAGUGGGUGACUUUAUGGGAAUCCAUACUGUAUAUAUGAUGGGUAUGAAGGAAUAGGUAUAGUUAUUGAAAUGUUGAAUACAUGGGUGUUGCUUGAGGAUUGUAGCUUGGUGGAAGUGAGUGGAAUUGGAUUGUGUAUAGAAUGGGAAUUAGUGGGAAUUAAUAAAUAACGUAAUUGACAGAUUGAAUAAAGCACAGUUAUAUAUUGCAUAGCAUAUAAUACAUUUUGACAAUUGCUCCUGGCUGUUGGUAAUCUGUGAGUUUCACACAUGGGAUUAUUUACGGUUUAUGAAUAUGAAAUUGGGUUUGCUGGUAAAAAAUACAGGUGUGAUGCAUAUUGGGUUGAAAGGUUGAUUAAGUAGUGGAUGAAUGCUGAGAGUUGGAUAGUCGCAGCUGGAGUGUAAACAUUUUAUUCUAACAAGGAUAUAGAAUAGGUACUUGGUUGAUAACUUUGAUAACAAUCUGCAUUGAAAGUUUUUUGUUUGCAGGCCAGCAGCAGGAGAGAUAGUGGAGAAGAUAGCACAGAGGGUUAAGGAAUGUAGUGGUUGGUACAGCUGUUGUUGAAGAAAGGACCCCUGCGUCCCCCUCUGGUUCAUACACAAAAGGCCCUCGGGUUAGAAGUGAUAAGACUGUUUGCCCAGGUGUGGCACUGGGGUCAUGGGGAGCCAGGCAGGGGUAGGUAAGAAGUAUGGUUAUUUAGCAACAGGACGUCAGGAAAGGGUUAAGAGAAAGUUUAUUGGAGAGAGUGAGAAAACAAGAGAUUGAUAGAGCCUAGCGGGGGUUUAGAAGAGAGUUUUGGAAGUAAUUAAUAUGACUAAGGGGUUAACUGAUAAGAAAGAGCAGGAGGCAAAAGGGGUAUAUGGAGGUAUGUUUUGUAGUAAGAAAAGUUAAAGUUAGAAUGGGCUAUAGAUAAGGACUUUUAAAUGAAUAAAUGAGGGUUUAAAACAUUAGAUAAUUUCUUGAAAUAAAAUUAAAAAUAGGGUAAUUACAUAUGCAUUUAUAGAUCGAGGGAAUAGGAAAAUGGAUAGACAGAAGCAAAGUGGUUUGAAGGAGGUACAUGGAAAGUAAGAAUGAGGAGGUAAAUGGGAAGUUAAAGAGAUUGAGAAAGAGUGGUAGGAUAUGUAAUGUUUCACUUAUUAGUUUUCACAUACAGAUGAGAGGAGUGACAGAGAGAAGGGGAGCCGUGUGCAAGUGUCAGUGGAACCUGAAAGCAAGCCAGGUUGAGGAUGGAACUAGAUGGCUGAUCUAAGGUUGAUGUGAGGAAUCGUGUGGGGUUUUGGUUUUAACUCCUUGAAAGUAUAUGUGAAAAUAACAUGGUUUUUAAGUGUCUCUUACAGAUUUGGGGGAACCUUCUGAAGUGGUUUGGGCUGAGGAGCCGCAGGAACAGAAUGGUUUGUUUGUAGUUGCAUUGGGGGAUGGGCGAUAGGAAGGAGUGACAUGCCCUUUGAAGUAUUGGUAUAUGGUGUGAGUGGGGUGAUGUUAGUAUUCAAGCCAGGUUAUAGCCAACAAGGUAAGAUCCUUUGUCAUUAUAAAUGUGACUAAGGGGGGUGAGUCUUUAUGCUUUGAUAAGCCACGUGGGCAGGGUUUCCUUCGAGAUAGUGUUUCAGCAAUUCAUUUAUAGCCUAACUUAGUGAUAAAGAUAUAAUGUACAUAGGUGAUGUAAUUAUUUCAAGGGAUACGACCAAAUUGAUUUAAAAGAGGGGUAAACUGCAGGCUUGGUAAACUAUGGAGCUGCUAUUGUGGCCAGAUGGCAACUCUAUACAUGUUAUCUGCUUUGUUCAUUUGCACGCACUUUUUAGUUUUCAGUGCGUAAGGGGGGAGGUAUUAGGAAAA
ensembl:lncRNA